ACACAUGCAAGUCGAACGGCAGCACGGGAGCAAUCCUGGUGGCGAGUGGCGAACGGGUGAGUAAUACAUCGGAACGUGCCCAAUCGUGGGGGAUAACGCAGCGAAAGCUGUGCUAAUACCGCAUGAGAUCUACGGAUGAAAGCAGGGGACCGCAAGGCCUUGCGCGAAUGGAGCGGCCGAUGGCAGAUUAGGUAGUUGGUGAGGUAAAGGCUCACCAAGCCUGCGAUCUGUAGCUGGUCUGAGAGGACGACCAGCCACACUGGGACUGAGACACGGCCCAGACUCCUACGGGAGGCAGCAGUGGGGAAUUUUGGACAAUGGGCGCAAGCCUGAUCCAGCCAUGCCGCGUGCAGGAUGAAGGCCUUCGGGUUGUAAACUGCUUUUGUACGGAACGAAAAGGCUUUCUCUAAUAAAGAGGGCUCAUGACGGUACCGUAAGAAUAAGCACCGGCUAACUACGUGCCAGCAGCCGCGGUAAUACGUAGGGUGCAAGCGUUAAUCGGAAUUACUGGGCGUAAAGCGUGCGCAGGCGGUGAUGUAAGACAGUUGUGAAAUCCCCGGGCUCAACCUGGGAACUGCAUCUGUGACUGCAUCGCUGGAGUGCGGCAGAGGGGGAUGGAAUUCCGCGUGUAGCAGUGAAAUGCGUAGAUAUGCGGAGGAACACCGAUGGCGAAGGCAAUCCCCUGGGCCCGCACUGACGCUCAUGCACGAAAGCGUGGGGAGCAAACAGGAUUAGAUACCCUGGUAGUCCACGCCCUAAACGAUGUCAACUGGUUGUUGGGUCUUCACUGACUCAGUAACGAAGCUAACGCGUGAAGUUGACCGCCUGGGGAGUACGGCCGCAAGGUUGAA
rnacentral:rRNA from 1 species